GAUCAAGGUGCCAGUCAAUUCAGUUUGUGGUGAGGACUUUUUUCCUAGAUGUAGAUGACCAUCUUCCUUCUGUGUCCUCAUGUGGUAGAGAGGUACAGAGAGCACUUUCUGGUGCCUAUUUUUAUAACGGAACUAAAUCUCUCAUGGGAAUUCAUAAGAUGAACCCUCAUGGCUUCAUCUAAACCUAAUUAAUUCCCUAAGAACCCACUCCCACCAAAUACUAUCACACUAGGGCUUAAGACUUCAACAUAUGAAUUUUGAUGGGACACAAACAUUUAGUCCAUAACAAACUGAUAUAUGCUGGACCAAGAGCCACCAGAGCUAGGGAGAUUCAUGGAAGCCAGGCCAUAUUGAAUAGAAGUUCUAGCCUGUACAGGAAGAAAAAGAAAUAAAUUCUACAAGGAUUGGGAAAACAUAAUAAGUGCUACUGGUCUACGUCUACGUCUCGUCACUUGUACCACUUUGAUACACACCAGCCAACUACCAGGUUUCUAGGCCAUUGUGGGCCUAGUCAAGCACCCUUCUGCCCCAAUAACUAUGUUAGAUAUUGACAGGAAAUUUUUGAGAGAAGAGAACACAAGGUGACUUAGAGAAGACAUGGUUGAAAAAGCCCUGUUACUGAAGCCCUUCUAGGCCAGUUCUUUAGAAAUGAUAAUUGGGCUUCUGCCUCCAGCAAGGGUCAAUCCUUGUCCUUGUGAGAUCUGCAAUAAAAUAUAAAUACUAUGAGAAAAUCA